rnacentral:rRNA from 1 species
AUUGAACGCUGGCGGCAGGCCUAACACAUGCAAGUCGAGCGGAUGAAGGGAGCUUGCUCCUGGAUUCAGCGGCGGACGGGUGAGUAAUGCCUAGGAAUCUGCCUGGUAGUGGGGGAUAACGUCCGGAAACGGGCGCUAAUACCGCAUAAGUCCUGAGGGAGAAAGUGGGGGAUCUUCGGACCUCACGCUAUCAGAUGAGCCUAGGUCGGAUUAGCUAGUUGGUGGGGUAAAGGCCUACCAAGGCGACGAUCCGUAACUGGUCUGAGAGGAUGAUCAGUCACACUGGAACUGAGACACGGUCCAGACUCCUACGGGAGGCAGCAGUGGGGAAUAUUGGACAAUGGGCGAAAGCCUGAUCCAGCCAUGCCGCGGGUGUGAAGAAGGUCUUCGGAUUGUAAAGCACUUUAAGUUGGGAGGAAGGGCAGUAAGUUAAUACCUUGCUGUUUUGACGUUACCAACAGAAUAAGCACCGGCUAACUUCGUG